rnacentral:tRNA from 1 species
UCCGAGAUCGUCUAAUGGUAGGACGUCGCUCUCUGGAAGCGAAAAUUGGGGUUCGAAUCCCUGUCUCGGAA